CCGGAAUAGCUCAGUUGGUAGAGCAGAGGACUGAAA
rnacentral:tRNA from 6 species